UGGGGAAUAUUGCACAAUGGGCGCAAGCCUGAUGCAGCCAUGCCGCGUGUAUGAAGAAGGCCUUCGGGUUGAAAGUACUUUCAGCGAGGAGGAAGGCAUUAAGGUUAAUAACCUUGGUGAUUGACGUUACUCGCAGAAGAAGCGACCGGCUAACUCCGUGCCAGCAGCCAGCGGUAAUCGGAGGGUGCAAGCGUUAAUCGGAAUUACUGGGCGUAAAGCGCACGCAGGCGGUCUGUUAAGUCAGAUGUGAAAAUCCCCCGGGCUCAACCUGGGAACUGCAUUUGGAAACUGGGCAGGCUUAGUCUUGUAGAGGGGGGGUAGAAUUCCAGGUG
rnacentral:rRNA from 1 species